CCUACGGGAGGCAGCAGUAGGGAAUCUUCCACAAUGGGCGAAAGCCUGAUGGAGCACCGCCGCGUGGGUGAAGAAGGUCUUCGGAUCGUAAAACCCUGUUGUUAGAGAAGAAAGUGCGUGAGAGUAACUGUUCACGUUUCGACGGUAUCUAACCAGAACGCCACGGCUAACUACGUGCCAGCAGCCGCGUUAAUACGUAGGUGGCAAGCGUUAUCCGGCUUUAUUGGGCGUAAAGGGAACGCCGGCGGUCUUUUAAGUCUGAUUUGAAAGCCUUGGGAUUAAACGGAGUAGUGCAUUGGAAACUGGGAGACUGGAGUGCAGAAGAGGAGAGUGGAACUCCAUGUGUAGCGGUGAAAUGCGUAGAUAUAUGGAAGAACACCAGUGGCGAAAGCGGCUCUCUGGUCUGUAACUGACGCUGAGGUUCGAAAGCGUGGGUAGCAAACAGGAUUAGAUACCCCAGUAGUC
rnacentral:rRNA from 1 species